AGGGGAAGCCCGGAGAUGGGGACUGAGACAAGGCCCCAGGCCCUACGGGGCGCAGCAGGUGCGAAAAUUCCGCAAUGCGUGCAAGCGCGACGGAGUGACCCCCAGUGCCGAUGGUCUAACGAUCGUCGGCUUUUCUGGAGUGUAAAAAGCUCUGGGUAAUAAGGGCCGGGUAAGACUGGUGCCAGCCGCCGCGGUAACACCAGCGGCUCAAGUGGUAGUCGAUUUUAUUGGGUCUAAAGCGUCCGUAGCCGGAUCGUCAAGUCCCUUGUGAAAUCGGGCGGCUUAACCGCUCGGCUUGCAAGAGAAACUGACGUUCUUGGGGUCGGCAGGCGCCGAGGGUACUCCGGAGGUAGCGGUGAAAUGCUAUAAUCUUCGGGGGACCGCCGGUGGCGAAAGCGCUCGGCGGGGCCGAACCCGACGGUGAGGGACGAAGGCCAGGGGAGCGAACCGGAUUAGAUACCCGGGUAGUCCUGGCUGUAAAGUAUGUGGGCCAGGUGCCAGACGUUCCUCGAGAGCGCUUGGUGCCGAAGGGAAGCCGUUAAGCCCACCACCUGGGGAGUACGGUCGCAAGGCUGAAACUUAAAGAAAUUGGCGGGGGAGCACCACAAGGGGUGGAGCCUGCGGUUUAAUUGGAUUCAACGCCGGACAUCUCACCGGGGGCGACGGCAGAGUGAAGGCCAAGUUGACGACUUUGCCGGACUCGCCGAGAGGUGGUGCAUGGCCGCCGUCAGCUCGUAUCGUGAGACGUCCUGUCAAGUCAGGUAACGAGCGAGACCCUUAUCCUUAGUUGCCAGCGGAUCCCUCUGGGAUGCCGGGCACUCUAAGGAGACCGCUGUCGAUAAGGCAGAGGAAGGAGAGGGCGACGGUAGGUCCGUAUGCCCCGAAUCCCCCGGGCAACACGCGGGCUACAAUGCGCGGGACAGAGGGCUGCGACCCCGAGAGGGGAAGCCGAUCCCUAAACCUGCGCCUAGUUCGGAUCGAGGGCUGCAACUCGCCCUCGUGAAGCUGGAAUCCCUAGUAAUCGCGUGUCACUAUCGCGCGGUGAAUACGUCCCUGCUCCUUGCACACACCGCCCGUCAAGCCAUCCGAGUGGGAUUUGGAUGAGGCUUACUCGACAUGAGUGGGUCAAAUCCGGGUUCUGCAAGGAGGGCUAAGUCGUAACAAGGUAACC
rnacentral:rRNA from 1 species